rnacentral:tRNA from 1 species
GGAGAGGUGUCUGAGUGGUUUAAGGUGGCGGCCUCGAAAGCCGUUGUCCCGCUUCGCGGGACCGAGAGUUCGAAUCUCUCCCUCUCCG